rnacentral:rRNA from 1 species
UCGCGGAUCAGCAUGCCGCGGUGAAUGUGUUCCUGAGCCUUGUACACACCGCCCGUCAAGCCACGAAAGUGGGGGGCAUCCGAAGUCGCCGGGCUAACCCGCAAGGGAGGCAGGCGCCGAAGAUGAACUCCGCGAUUGGGACUAAGUCGUAACAAGGUAGCCGUAGGGGAACCUGCGGCUGGAUCACCUCCUUUCUAAGGA